GACGUAGGGCGCGAGCGUUGUCCGGAAUUAUUGGGCGUAAAGAGCUCGUAGGCGGCUUGUUGCGUCGGCUGUGAAAACCCAUGGCUUAACUGUGGGCUUGCAGCCGAUACGGGCAGGCUAGAGUUCGGUAGGGGAGACUGGAAUUCCAGGUGUAGCGGUGAAAUGCGUAGAUAUCAGGAGGAACACCAAUGGCGAAGGCAGCUCGCUGGGACGUGACUGACGCUGAGACGCGAAAGCGUGGGGAGCAAACAGG
rnacentral:rRNA from 1 species